rnacentral:sRNA from 1 species
AUGUAACGGUGACUCCAGAGGGAUUCCGGUACCGGGGCCAGAUCUUCCCAACCGUGAAUGGACUGUUUAGAUGGUUUAAGGAUCACUACCAGGAUCCUGUACCAGGUGAGUUCUGCUCUUCCUGACUUCAGGGACGUGGCUGGAGGAACACCUAGGACCUGACUCAGAGUAGUCCCAGCCUAGGGGACCAGGUGAGGAGUAGGCUGUCACUGCAGCUGUCUUACUCCUCCUGCAGCCUCCCAGCACCAGGAAGGUUCUCCAUCCACUGUGCCUAUGCAGCUUCCCUUCCUCCCUCCACCUACUUCAGUGCCCCUUCCACCCCCUGAAUUGGGAAACCAAAAAUAGGUUUCUGGAGGGAUGUAACUAAAUAAUCACUUCCUGCAGGCAUCACCCCUAGCAGCAGCAGCAGGACCCGGACACCUGCCUCUAUCAAUGCUACCCCAGCCAACAUCAACCUUGCAGAUCUGACACGGGCUGUGAAUGCCCUGCCUCAGAACAUGACUUCACAGAUGUUCAGUGCCAUUGCUGCGGUGACAGGCCAAGGACAGAACCCUAAUGCCACCCCAGCCCAGUGGGCCUCC